CCAGACGGCCGGAUGGCCGCGCUCCGCGCCGGCGAAAGCCUGCGGGGUGAGGAAAGUCCGGGCUCCACGGAAACACGGUGCCGGGUAACGCCCGGCGGGGGCGACCCCAGGGACAGUGCCACAGAAAGCAAACCGCCGGGGCGCGCCCCGGCAAGGGUGAAAGGGUGCGGUAAGAGCGCACCGCGGGACCGGCAACGGGACCGGCAUGGUAAACCCCACCGGGAGCAAGACCGAAUAGGGGCGGCCAGCUGCUUCGGGCAGCAUGCGCGUUUCCGCGCCGCCGCCCGGGUGGGUCGCGCGAGGCGUCCGGCGACGGGCGUCCCAGAUGAAUGGUCAUCCCGCCCCGGGCGACCGGGACGGACAGAACCCGGCUUACAGGCCGUCUGGCAAU
rnacentral:RNase_P_RNA from 1 species